GUACUCACUUCAGCAGCACAUAUACUAACAUUGGAACAAUACGAAGAUCAUGGCAUCUG
rnacentral:snRNA from 1 species